rnacentral:rRNA from 1 species
AGAGUUUGAUCCUGGCUCAGGAUGAACGCUAGCUACAGGCUUAACACAUGCAAGUCGAGGGGCAGCAUGGUCUUAGCUUGCUAAGGCCGAUGGCGACCGGCGCACGGGUGAGUAACACGUAUCCAACCUGCCGUCUACUCUUGGACAGCCUUCUGAAAGGAAGAUUAAUACAAGAUGGCAUCAUGAGUCCGCAUGUUCACAUGAUUAAAGGUAUUCCGGUAGACGAUGGGGAUGCGUUCCAUUAGAUAGUAGGCGGGGUAACGGCCCACCUAGUCUUCGAUGGAUAGGGGUUCUGAGAGGAAGGUCCCCCACAUUGGAACUGAGACACGGUCCAAACUCCUACGGGAGGCAGCAGUGAGGAAUAUUGGUCAAUGGGCGAGAGCCUGAACCAGCCAAGUAGCGUGAAGGAUGACUGCCCUAUGGGUUGUAAACUUCUUUUAUAAAGGAAUAAAGUCGGGUAUGCAUACCCGUUUGCAUGUACUUUAUGAAUAAGGAUCGGCUAACUCCGUGCCAGCAGCCGCGGUAAUACGGAGGAUCCGAGCGUUAUCCGGAUUUAUUGGGUUUAAAGGGAGCGUAGAUGGAUGUUUAAGUCAGUUGUGAAAGUUUGCGGCUCAACCGUAAAAUUGCAGUUGAUACUGGAUAUCUUGAGUGCAGUUGAGGCAGGCGGAAUUCGUGGUGUAGCGGUGAAAUGCUUAGAUAUCACGAGGAACUCCGAUUGCGAAGGCAGCCUGCUAAGCUGCAACUGACAUUGAGGCUCGAAAGUGUGGGUAUCAAACAGGAUUAGAUACCCUGGUAGUCCACACGGUAAACGAUGAAUACUCGCUGUUUGCGAUAUACGGCAAGCGGCCAAGCGAAAGCGUUAAGUAUUCCACCUGGGGAGUACGCCGGCAACGGUGAAACUCAAAGGAAUUGACGGGGGCCCGCACAAGCGGAGGAACAUGUGGUUUAAUUCGAUGAUACGCGAGGAACCUUACCCGGGCUUAAAUUGCAGAUGAAUUACGGUGAAAGCCGUAAGCCGCAAGGCAUCUGUGAAGGUGCUGCAUGGUUGUCGUCAGCUCGUGCCGUGAGGUGUCGGCUUAAGUGCCAUAACGAGCGCAACCCUUGUUGUCAGUUACUAACAGGUUCUGCUGAGGACUCUGACAAGACUGCCAUCGUAAGAUGUGAGGAAGGUGGGGAUGACGUCAAAUCAGCACGGCCCUUACGUCCGGGGCUACACACGUGUUACAAUGGGGGGUACAGAGGGCCGCUACCACGCGAGUGGAUGCCAAUCCCAAAAACCUCUCUCAGUUCGGACUGGAGUCUGCAACCCGACUCCACGAAGCUGGAUUCGCUAGUAAUCGCGCAUCAGCCACGGCGCGGUGAAUACGUUCCCGGGCCUUGUACACACCGCCCGUCAAGCCAUGGGAGCCGGGGGUACCUGAAGUGCGUAACCGCGAGGAGCGCCCUAGGGUAAAACUGGUGACUGGGGCUAAGUCGUAACAAGGUAGCCGUACCGGAAGGUGCGGCUG